rnacentral:rRNA from 1 species
GACCUGGCUCAGGAUGAACGCUGGCGGCGCGCCUAACACAUGCAAGUCGAACGGCACCCCUCUCCGGAGGGAAGCGAGUGGCGAACGGCUGAGUAACACGUGGAGAACCUGCCCCCUCCCCCGGGAUAGCCGCCCGAAAGGACGGGUAAUACCGGAUACCCCGGGGUGCCGCAUGGCACCCCGGCUAAAGCCCCGACGGGAGGGGAUGGCUCCGCGGCCCAUCAGGUAGACGGCGGGGUGACGGCCCACCGUGCCGACAACGGGUAGCCGGGUUGAGAGACCCG